GCCAGGGUAGCUCAACUGGUAGAGCGCGUAAUAAUGCGACUUGUUAAGCCGCUUACAGCAAAUUUCUUUUGGUCUGUUAAACCCGUGGUUGCAGGUUCGAUUCCUGCCCCUGGCUCA
rnacentral:tRNA from 1 species